rnacentral:lncRNA from 1 species
CAACCCAAAGCCACAAAACUCAACAAAACAGGUACCCAAAUAUGGGAAAGAAACCUCUUCUUUUCUGGGUAUGGUUGUAUAUUUACUUUCCAAUUACACUGGUGAUUUUUGGCUUUUUGUUUAGUGAUUCCAAGUUUUAGAUUGGAAGUAAUUGGAAAUGUUGGGAGUUGGGGUUAAUGGACCCCCCCCCAUGUAUGUUACAAGGCACAAUGUUUAAAAGAGGAAAAAUAUAGGAAAGUUCUAGUUAAAUGUAUGAUGAAUCAAUAAACUAGAACAAGCCAUGGUGCGAUCUGAGAAGGAAUUUAACUAGUUCUGAUUGCUUACUUUGAUUACUGUUCCACCUCUUGCACAUCCCACACAUUAAACAUGCUUGACUGGUUCAGAGGGAAGAAAGAGCACAUCCCUGUCCCUGCCCUGUAUUGGAAAGAAUGCCAAGAAGCACAGAAAGGGUCACUCCGUCUAUUUGUACUCUAAGCAGCAAUGUCAUCUAACAGACAGGUUGUCUCAACCAACCAGGCUGGCGCAGCUGCCAGUGCUAUAUUUUGGCACUCCGAAGCUAUUGGCUCCUCUCUGGGGAGUGGAGGGUGUUCAGUUAUUAAUGACCGCUGAGCAGGCAGCACCAUGUCAGUGUGACAACUGAUCGGGUGAACGAUGCACCACUAACCACCAUGGAAACAAGGAGAAAGAAGAAGAAAAGCUAGCAAGCAUCCCUUCCCCCCCCCCGCUCUUUCCCUCUAGCUCUCUCUCUCUCUCUCUCUCUCUCGUCCUCUCUUCCCCCUCCUUCACUGGAUUGUGAGCUUCCGACAGCCAGCAACAGAGCUCUGGAAAAAGUAAAAGAUCGUAGCCUGCUGCACAGAGAUUCCCUCAUAUUACAGGAUAUAUCAAGACAACCGUAAGGUGCACUAUCUGUGCAUGCAUCAGCUUAGCUCACUAGCAUUAGCAUCACUAUGUGGUUACCUGCACGAAGGAAUCCAAAUAUGCAGGAGCAUUCCAGGACUGAAACUAUUCUUGCAGGUAAUCACGAAGACUACUCAGGGAAAUAGAAAGGCAGGUGGCAGCACUGGUAUUUCAAUGGCAUAAUCCUCCAUGUGGAAAAAGAACAGGGACUACAUGUCCCAGCAUCUUAGCAGGGGACCUAAACCUUUGUGGCAAUUUUGAUGAAGAAGACCUUCACCAUUGCAUUCAACCCCUCUCCUCCUCAGGUCAUCCGGGUGGCUUCAAGAGAAAAAGGAAGGUAGGCUGCAUCGGAGCCCAUUCUAUAGUUUGUGAGACUAUUGACCCAUCUACAGUAGCUCAGCACUAUUGACUCUGACUGGCAACAACUGCCCAGGUUUGCGGGGAAAUUCUCUAUCACUGCACUACAGCCCCACUCCAGUAUAGCAUCUAGUAUUUCCUGGUGGUCUCAUAUUCAAGUACUCACCAAACUUGAAGUAAGAUAGCAUAGUCUCCAAAUCCCACAAGGUACUAGUUUGCCUCUAUUUGGCACUGGUCAGACCUCAUAUUGAGCAUUGUGUCCAGUUCUGGAUGCCACAUUUCAAGAAGGAUGCUGACAAAUUUGAACAAAUUCAGAGGAGGGCAACAAGGAUGAUCAGGGGACUGGAAACCAAGCUCUGUGAGGAAAGAUUGAAAGAACUGGGCAUGUUUAGCCUUGAGAAAAAGAAGGCUGAGGGGACGUAUGAUAGCACUUU